GUGGGGAAUAUUGGACAAUGGGCGCAAGCCUGAUCCAGCCAUGCCGCGUGAGUGAUGAAGGCCUUAGGGUUGUAAAGCUCUUUCACCGGUGAAGAUAAUGACGGUAACCGGAGAAGAAGCCCCGGCUAACUUCGUGCCAGCAGCCGCGGUAAUACGAAGGGGGCUAGCGUUGUUCGGAAUUACUGGGCGUAAAGCGCACGUCGGCUGAUAUUUAAGUCAGGGGUGAAAUCCCGGGGCUCAACCCCGGAACUGCCUUUGAUACUGAGUAUCUUGAGUAUGGAAGAGGUCAGUGGAAUUGCGAGUGUAGAGGUGAAAUUCGUAGAUAUUCGCAGGAACACCAGUGGCGAAGGCGACUGACUGGUCCAUUACUGACGCUGAGGUGCGAAAGCGUGGGGAGCAAACAGGAUUAGAAACCCUAGUAGUCC
rnacentral:rRNA from 1 species